UGACAGUACUCCUACGGGGAGGCAGCAGUGGGGGAAUAUUGCACAAUGGGCGCAAGCCUGAUGCAGCCAUGCCGCGUGUGUGAAGAAGGCCUUCGGGUUGUUAAAGCACUUUCAGUCGUGAGGAAGGUGGUAGUGUUAAUAGCACUAUCAUUUGACGUUAGCGACAGAAGAAGCACCGGCUAACUCCGUGCCAGCAGCCGCGGUAAUACGGAGGGUGCGAGCGUUAAUCGGAAUUACUGGGCGUAAAGCGCAUGCAGGUGGUUUGUUAAGUCAGAUGUGAAAGCCCGGGGCGUCAACCUCGGAAUAGCAUUUGAAACUGGCAGACUAGAGUACUGUAGAGGGGGGUAGGAAUUUCAGGUGUAGCGGUGAAAUGCGUAGAGAUCUGAAGGAAUACCGGUGGCGAAGGCGGCCCCCUGGACAGAUACUGACACUCAGAUGCGAAAGCGUGGGGAGCAAACAGGAUUAGAUACCCUGGUAG
rnacentral:rRNA from 1 species